rnacentral:rRNA from 1 species
UUUAACUGAGCGUUCAGUUACUUGACGUAGACCCGAAACCGGGCGACCUACCCAUGAGCAGGAUGAAGCGAAAGUAAAAUUUCGUGGAGGUCCGAACCCACGAGCGUUGAAAAGCUCGGGGAUGACUUGUGGGUAGCGGUGAAAUUCCAAUCGAGCCCGGAGAUAGCUGGUUCUCCCCGAAAUAGCUUUAGGGCUAGCCUCAAGGUGAGAGAUACGGAGGUAGAGCACUGAAUGUCCUAGGGGGUAUUGCACCUACCGAAGACUAUCAAACUCCGAAUGCCGUCAUCUUAUACUUGGGAGUCAGACUGUGGGUGAUAAGAUUCAUAGUCGAAAGGGCAACAGCCCAGAUCGUCAGCUAAGGUCCCUAAAUGUAAGUUAAGUGGUAAAGGAUGUGGGAUUGCACAGACAACCAGGAUGUUGGCUUAGAAGCAGCCACUCAUUCAAAGAGUGCGUAAUAGCUCACUGGUCGAGUGAUCCUGCGCCGAAGAUUUCCGGGGCUAAAACUUACUACCGAAGCUACGGCAUCAGUAAGGAUGGGUAGGGGAGCUUCCCAUACGGGUUGAAGCAUGGCCGUAAGGACAUGUGGACAGUAUGGGAGGGAGAAUGUUGGCAUGAGUAGCGAGAUGUGGGUGAGAAUCCCACAGGCCGUAAACCCAAGGUUUCCAGGGGAAGGUUCGUCCGCCCUGGGUUAGUCGGGACCUAAGCUGAGGCCGAAAGGCGUAGGUGAUGGACAACAGGUUGAUAUUCCUGUACUACCGAU